CCUUAGUAGCGGCGAGUGAAGCGGCAAGAGCUCAAAUUUGAAAUCUGGUACCUUCGGUGCCCGAGUUGUAAUUUGAAGAAAGUAAUCUUGGAGGUGGCCUUUGUCUAUGUUCCUUGGAACAGGACGUCACAGAGGGUGAGAAUCCCGUGCGAUGAGGUGUCCAUUUCCGUGUAAGAUGCUUUCGAAGAGUCGAGUUGUUUGGGAAUGCAGCUCAAAGUGGGUGGUAAAUUCCAUCUAAAGCUAAAUAUUGGCGAGAGACCGAUAGCGAACAAGUACUGUGAAGGAAAGAUGAAAAGAACUUUGAAAAGAGAGUGAAAAAGUACGUGAAAUUGUUGAAAGGGAAGGGUAUUUGAUCAGACUUGGUAUUUAGUUAUCAUUGCUCCUUGUGGGUGGUGCUCUAACUUUUUACUGGGCCAGCAUCAGUUUUGGUGGUAAGAUAAUGACAGUUGAAUGUGGCUCCUCGGAGUGUUAUAGCUUCUGUUGAUGUUGCCUACCGGGACUGAGGUCUGCGGCUUUGCCUAGGAUGCUGGCGUAAUG
rnacentral:rRNA from 1 species